rnacentral:rRNA from 1 species
GAUGAACGCUGGCGGCGUGCCUAAUACAUGCAAGUCGAGCGAAUGGAUUAAGAGCUUGCUCUUAUGAAGUUAGCGGCGGACGGGUGAGUAACACGUGGGUAACCUGCCCAUAAGACUGGGAUAACUCCGGGAAACCGGGGCUAAUACCGGAUCACAUUUUGAACCGCAUGGUUCGAAAUUGAAAGGCGGCUUCGGCUGUCACUUAUGGAUGGACCCGCGUCGCAUUAGCUAGUUGGUGAGGUAACGGCUCACCAAGGCAACGAUGCGUGGCCGACCGGAGAGGGUGAGCGGCCACACUGGGACUGAGACACGGCCCAGACCCCUACGGGAGGCAGCAGUAGGGAAUCUUCCGCAAUGGACGAAAGUCUGACGGAGCAACGCCGCGGGAGUGAUGAAGGCUUUCGGGUCGUAAAACUCUGUUGUUAGGGAAGAACAAGUGCUAAUUGAAUAAGCUGGCACCUUGACGGUACCUAACCAGAAAGCCACGGCUAACUACGUGCCAGCCGCCGCCGUAA